AUUUUGUGCUCCAUGGUGCCCAAUUUUGGUCGUUCGUUUUAUUUAAAAAUUUUUAUAAUUAGUAUUUUUAGUGUUAUGAUAUGAUAAAACAUGAAUAGUACUUUAUACAUGACUUAUGUUUUUAGUAUUUUUUUUUUAAAAAAUAAAUAAGACGGACGAUCAAAGUUGUGCACAGAAAAUCAUGGUUGCACUUAAG
rfam:Oryza glaberrima chromosome 12 Oglab12_0189_4, whole genome shotgun sequence.